rnacentral:lncRNA from 1 species
CAGCUCUACAGUCUGAGGGAUCUUAGGCAAAUGGCGCUUCCUAGAGGCAGAGGACUGGACAAAAGGACCUCAUAUUUCCCUUAUUUCUUCACUGAGUUGUUGCUAACUUUUUAAGCACUCAUGUCAUACACUUUCUUGGGUAUAUUUGUGGCAUAUAAUAAUCUGAAAUCCCCAUUCUCAGAAUUUAAAUUCUCAACAAUAGUAUCCCCCAUACCUAUAGGUAAAAAAUAGGAAUUAAGCAAAUGGAUGAAUGUUAAUGAAGCUCAUCUUUAUUCUCAUCAGUUAUCAUAUCAUUGGAAAAUCAACAAAUUUCAUUCAUGUGAUUAUUAAAACACUGCCAUGCACAUAGACCCAAAUUCUUUUUCAAAGUGUGGCUUGGGGCAACAAUACUGAAUUCAUUGAUAACAGGCCAGACCCCUCUGUUGGUCUUUUUAUUUCGUAUUUAUCAUUGAUGCCAUUUCAUACGGCUGUGGUUACCUGGGUAAAACUGACAGUAUCACUUAGGCCAUGAUGAAACCAGUCUCGACUAGGAAGCUUCCGAAAAGUUGACCCUAAAUAAAAGGCUGCCUCUGAGAAGAUUGAAUAUAAACUAUUAAUAUCUCAUUCUAUGCUAUAAAUAGUUCCUUGAAAUUGUGUCUAUUAGCAACACGGUCUCGAGCAUGAAGCUUAACCACUCUGUACCUUAAUUAAUUUAUUUGUUGAAUUAUGAGGUUAUAGUAAGGAUUUAGCGAGUUAACACAAAAUGCUCAGAGCAAUAUUUGAUAAGUGUUGAAUACUAGUACUGAAGGGUUUAUUAUUACCUCUUCCUUCAGUAAACUUCCUGAUCCACCUGCUGAAGCCCUCCUCCGAGAAGCCUCCUUGACUCCUACUGACAAGUUAAUUCAUUUCUUCUUCCAUACCUCUUCCAGUCCUAGGUAAUAUUGGUUAUAAUUAUUGCUCUUACAUUCAUCUCUCCAGUUGAUCCCCAUCUAUACCCUUGGUUGGUGUCUUUCUUAAGUAGAAAUAGUGUCUUCUGUGUCUGCACCCUAGGUACCAGCAUAUCUUCUUGCAUAUGUGAAUAAAGGAAUGAAUUUGCUCUUGGUAAAUCUCUUGGUAAAAAUUUAGACUGGUUUUAGACAUAAAUGCAAAAAUAAUAAAACAUUUUGCUUGGGUUUAACAUUUUUAAAGGUUCAUUUGAAUGAGACUAUCACCAAUAUACAAGAAUAAAAGAAUGAAUCUACUCAAUGACCAUCAAUGUCUGCUCUAUCAGCAAGAAAGAUACAAUCGUACAUCAUAUACCUCCUGAUGGGUGUACCAAUACUACCUCUAAAAUAACCCUAACUUUUACCAAAAAAAGUAAUCCUAGGUUACACCAGGCCUUUUAAUCAAUUUACAGGAAAUACAGUGGACAGAGGACCACGUUAUAUAACACUUUGAUGAUUAAAUUAGUUAAAUCCACACUGAGAAACUCUACAGAGCAAACUCUGCAAGAUAAAUGACCAAAUAAAUUUCAGGGGCAGGGGGGAAAGGGAAAGAGAAAGCUGCAGAUUCAGAGAGCUCAAGAGAAAGACAGUCAAUUUCUAAUAUGUAGACUGACUGCAUUUGAAUUCUGAUUCAAACAAAUUCUAAAAAUACUCUGUAUAUUUGAUAUCAUAAAAGAAUUACUAUUAACUACUCUAGCAUUGACAAUAGUUAUUUUUUAAAAUGUCUUCAGAUUUAAUAGAUAUAUACUGAAAUAUUUCCUAAUAAGAUAGGUUCAUGUCUGAGAUUUUCUUCAAAAUAAUUCUGGGUGAUGGAAAUUUAGAAAAAACAAGAUAGAGUUAAGAGUUGAUUGCUGAGGUUGGGUGAUAGGUACAUAAAAGUUCAUGAUACUGUUCUACUAAAAGAACAGUAAAAAUUUUUGCAAAAAGAUUGGAAGGUUUGCCCAUGUUUCUGCAGAGUCAUUAAAAGUUCUGAGGCAGGGGAGAGAUGUGUUAAAAGCAGCAUUUUAUAAAACUGCAUUUAAGAGAGAAGAUGCUAGAACCAGAAAUCCUUUUUAAGUCUGAACUGAAAUAAUGAGAUCCUGGCCAACUCAGAGGCAGAGGGGACAGACAGGAGGGAAAGGGGGAGGAAUUCAUGAACAGAAGUGGUGACAGGACCUGGUGGUAGGGUGGACUACACCAAGUCACAAUUUGCUGCAGGUUAUCUAAUUUCCAUCUCAUGGAAGAUGAGAUUGUGGGAGGAAACUCUGCAGUAUCAGGAUCAUUAGAAACCAAGGAAGAUGUUCACUUUGUGUUGUAAUCUUUUGGGAGAUGGUGACACAAAAGAUUAGCAUUGAAUUUUUUUUUUUUUUUUUUUUUUUUUUGUCUUUUAAGGGCCGCACCCGUGGCAUAUGGAAGUUCCCAGACGAGGGGUUGAACUGGAGCUACAGUUGCCAGCCUACACCACAGCCACAGCCACAGCAAUGUGGGAUCCGAGCCACAUCUGUCACCUACACCACAACUCAUGGCAACGCCAGAUCCUUAACCCACUGAGCAGGGCCAGGGAUCGAACCCACCUCCUUAUGGAUGCUAGUCGGGUUUGUUACCACUGAGCCACAGUGGGAACUCCCAGCAUAGAAAUUUAUUUAAGCUAGAUGACAAUGUAGCAUCUGCAUUAAUAUCUUGUGGAUACUUAAAGAUAAGGAAACAGGAUUCAAGGGGCAGAAGAUGUUAGAAAAAUAUUCAGUUCUGCAGUGACUGCUUCAAAAGACCAAGACCAACAUAGUUGGCCCCCACUGAAGGGUUUUACAAUAAGGUCAGAGAAAAGACAUACACAAUAGGCAGUUGGAGGCUCAGUGUAGAGCUGAUGAAACCAAAGCAAAGGGAUAUCAGCGUGUCCAGGGAAAGUUUCUUAAACAUAUCGCUUCUUCUUGAACCACAUCAUAAAGGAAGAGUAGAUAUAGCACAAGAAUGUGGAAUCAAGUAUAACAAAAUGUGCACUGAUCCAACCAAUAUUUGACGAGUUUCUAUGAAGUGAAAACACACACAAUAUACCUCUCCAUUUGCUUUAUUCUUCCUCUUAAUGCUUGGCAAUGCCAGGUAUCACCUUGUACUUGCUUCAUUCUUGUCUAUGUCCCCCAUGAGAAUACAAGCUCAUGAGAGCAUCUCUUGUUCACCAGGGUAUCCUCAAAGCUUUGAAUAGUUCCUUAAAUAUACUAAAUUCUCAAUAAAUAUUAUUUAAAAGUGUCCAUCCUUCCAGUGCUCACAGCCUCAGGUGAACUGAAAACUGAGCAGACAAUUACAACAUGUGUGAGCAGCAUGAGUAGUUCAGAAGGCCAGGAGAGCACAGGGGUGACGGCCUGAUGUGUCAACUGAAAGAAGAGCCAUUGUAAAAUCUCUACCUCACAGAAAGAGAAACAAGAGUUUACUCCCUUUGCAUAUUUAUUACAUAGAUUGUACUGAGAGACACACAACCCAAGGCUAAAGGAUGAUGAAAUUGCAUCAUUUUUCACUUGUCUCCAGGUAACACACAUCUUAUACAAAGAAAAAAAACGCCACAGAUGAUUUCAUUACUGAAUUUACUGGUUCCUGGUGUACUUCAAUGAGUGUGGGGAGAAACAAGCUGGAGACUAGAGUGGCCAUGUCAUUCCUGAGCUGUACAGAGUGUCUCAGCAUUGGUGGAAUUUAGGGUACUGGAUAAAAUGUGUAUGUGUGUGCACGUGGGCAUAUAUGUUUUCAACGAGAGCUCAUUCUCACCUUUAUGAAGGAAGUCAGUGAUAGUUAUUAUGACUGUGAAGGGCUGGAAAGCCUUUCCCCUCUCACCUCUGCUGGCCAGUCUGGACAUCAGGGUGAACACAGAACCCACCUUAUCAAAAUGCUUCUGUUGCAAUACAGCAAGAAACUGUCAGAUACAAAUGGUGAUGCUGACUUCUCAAUAGGGGGAAAAAAGGACCUAAAUUAGACUUCUAUAAAAAGAAUAUUGCAUAUUUAUUUCCACAAUAACACCCAGGAAAAACGUUAGUCAAGAAGCAAGCAAUUGGGUGAAUAAAUAAGCUUGUCUUUGUUCUCAUCAAUUAAGUUAUUACAUCAGUUGGAAAACCAGUGAAUUAUAAUACAGAUGUUUAAUGAAACACUGCUGAGCCUAUAAGUCAAACUCCUAUUUUGUGGUGUGAUUUUGGCUGCAUAGUUUUGUGUGUGUUAAACCGUAUUUAUUAGCUGAUACCCAUUAUUACUUUGAGCAAGGUAUAAUUCAGUUGUCAGGCUCCAUCGCAGGCAAGGAGAUUUAAUCAGUAAGAGCCGCUUUGCUACUGAGUAUAAAACAAUGUGGGUUUCAUGAAGCAAUCACAGCAGUGUGAAAAAAAUGGGAUUAAUUAGUAUUGUAUAAGAACAGGCAGCAUGCUCAUUAAAACCUUGUGAGGUGGCUCUUGAUAAACUGCCACUUGAUAGGACCGCAUUAAUGUGACAAGGCAAAGACUUCAUUUCCAAAUCCUUUCUGAUUGUAUCUUGCUUUCAAGUUACCUGGAAUGACCCUCCUUGGCAUUCUGAAUACGAAGAUCAAAAUGACUGCCAGGGAUCCAGAAGCCACCUGGACCGAGGAAGCCGAGCAUAGAUUGGGAAGCUUCAAAGACAACUUUUUUUGAACUUGCAGUCAAACAUGAAUCAAUAGCUGUAAAUGAGGCAGCGCCAGGGGUGGUGAAUUUGCAUUUGCACUCGGCAGGUCGGGCAGAAACUAAUUUGACAAUUGGCAACCCACCUUAAUGAAGGCCACAUACAAUCCUCUGUUUGUUUACCCAAUGCUGGCGGUGUUUGGAAACGUAUACAUCCCGAGGAAGGCAGCAGGGGCUCCAGAGAGCCUUGAGGGGAGCUAUCAGAUGGGUAGAGGAAGGCAGUCACUCAGAGUUACUGUCUCUUUGAGUGCUCUUCGUGCACUUCUCUCUUGGUGCCCACUGACUAAUUAUUUGGGUUUCCAAAACGCCUCUCUUACUUCCUAAAAUGAAUAGUUAUUUUUUGUUGUUUUGUUUUCACAGUGAAAGCAUCUGC